rnacentral:tRNA from 1 species
GGGGUUAUGGCUCAGCGGUAGAGCACUUGCCUCGUAUAUGCAAGGCCCUGGGUUCGAUCCUCAGUACCA